AGGGGUCGGCAUUAAGGUGGGUGGAAUAAUAUAACAAUCCAGUAAUGUUGUUAUAGUAUUCCACCCCCCCUGAUACCACC
rnacentral:pre_miRNA from 1 species